UGCCACUGUGGAGUAACUGCAGUCUCCUUUGUUUUGUGGCUCUGUGUGUGUGUGUGUGUGUGUGUGUGGUGUUGUGCAUAUGGGAUGGAGCUAGAAGUCAGCACUGGGUGUCUUUAUCUUCCUCUAUUGCUCUCUACUUUUUUUUUUUUUGGUUUGCUUGUUUGUUUUAUUAAGACAGGGUUUCUUUGUGUAGCCCUGGCUGUCCAGGAACUUGCUCUGUAGCCAACAUUGGCCUUGAACUCACAGAGAUCCAUUUGCCUCUGCCUCCUGAGUACUGGGAUUAAAGGCAUGCUGAUGUACCGCCAUUUGAGCUGGAAGGAGGGCCAUUGGCCUGUGAGCUGGGUGUUGGCGCUUUCAGAACAGAAGCCGGGCUCUGAGCCCCGCACCCCGUCUCGACCUGUAAGUGCUGGACAGGCACAGAGGAAGUGGCAGCUUCAAGUCUUCUUUGGACCAAGCCCAUUUUCUGUAGAAAAUGACAGGGCAGAGUGUAACCCGGAGAAGUAUCACAGAACAGAGGUGGAUGAGACCAAGCAGGUACCCUGAACCCCAAGUUCCCCUUGCUGUUUGAAACACCAGAUAACUGGGGAGACACCCCCCUUCUGUGCUGCACACUGCAGGUGCAGCUUCUUUCCCACCUUUCGUGCAAAAUGCAAGUUUCUCUCUGCUUGGGUGGAAUGGACACCUGGUUGGCAUGUUUCCCCAGCAGAGUCGGGUUCUCUUCCAGACAAAUGGGGAAUGUGUUUGUAUGUGUGAACAGCCUGGUUCGGUCUCCACCUGUGAACACAGCAAUAAUCCCUAGGUGCCUCAUUUCCUCUGUAUUCAACUGGGAAACAUCUCCGGAUUUCUAAGCUUCCAGCCCCAGUCAGUAACCGCCCAGUCUUGGUGGCCAGACCUCCAGGCUGAGCCAUGUGUCCCUCAGCCUGAGCUGUGCAAAUUCUGCCCUUGCCAGGAGAGGAGCUGACAGUGCAUUCGAUUUAUUGAGUUUUAGACAUUCUUUCCGGCGUGGAUCAGAACAGAUAUUUUUGUUCUGAGCGGCAGGUCCCAGGCAAGCUGGGAACAGUGCCUAGUUACGGGGGAGCUCGGGGAAGGGGUGCACUUGGUUCUCAAGCAAUUAUCAUCCUCCAACAGCUAAACACACCCCAAAGCGAUCCAUUUUCUCACUGCAGAGCAAAGGCAUCGGAUCGGUUUUUGUGGUAACUAUGCAAUUAGCUCUCCCUGGCACUGCGGUGACUUCUUGGGGAGUGUGUUUGCUACAGAGCACAGUGACAACUGAUUGUGAUCUACGACAUAACAUUUCAGAAAGUGGACUCUGAUUUCAUAUCGUGGAGUCAAGCCUUUCAUCAGAAACAGUUUACUGGCUAAGUUAAGACAGAGGUCCAGGAGGGGCGGCCCAAGCUGGUUGUAAGGUGGGGGUCAGGAGGGGCCACUGGUCUGUCUACUGAGACAGUCUGCUGUCUCAUGAUCCAGCCUCUUAAGAGACCCCGAGAGGCUGUACCACAGAGCUCUCCUGUAAGUCCCUGUCUUUGGAUAUCCUGGCUUUGUGCAGCUAGAGGUAUUCCAAGCACUGGGUGCUUUAUACAGAGUCUGCAGGAGAAGCCACGUGCAAACCAAGGCUCAGAAUAAUCGGGAACUGGGAAAUCUCAGGUAAAAAAUCGACCUCCCUUUGUUGGAACAGGCAAACAGACAGAGAGAGCAAGGUGGGGCUGGGCUAAUUAGCGCCGACUUGAACUUUUCGUUUUGUUCUUUUUCACUCUUGUGGUUAUAUCGAAGCCUCGAGAAGCCUGAAGUCAGGCGGGAAGAGUCCUACAGUGUCCUGUGCGUGCCAAACAAGACAUUGUCCUAGCUGGGUGUGGUGGUUCACAACUUGCUCAGCAGGUGAAAGUGGGGAAACGACAUAAAGACAUAGACAUACCUUCCCAAGCCUCCAUCAAAAAGAGCAAACAUGGUGACCGGCUGUCCUACGCAGGUGAGAGAGAAGCCGUGGGCUCUGUAACAAGGGACAGGGCUUUACAAAUGGCAAUGACCUUGGAAUUUAUCUCUCCUCUCAGUACUGCAUGGUUCUGUUAAGCCGAACGGGGCACGGACAGGCUUCUGAGAGCUAAGGAUCUAGGGGAGACUGCUCAGGCCUUGGAGUCCUGCUCCCUGCAGACUGGACAGGCUUCAUCUUCACUGCUUUAUCUGCUCGUGGAAAGGCCAGGGUCAAGGGCUUUAAGACAAGACGUGUGGUGACCUCAAAAUGAAACCCUGUGUCUGCCCACUUGUCCUGAAAGUUGUCAUCUGAGCCCAAGUGGCCAUAUUAGCUGUCAGAACCAUACAGAGGUGACAUUGAGCUUUGGAGGGCCAGGUUGUUCAUGGGCUGGGGUACCAUGUGAUGCUGAGCUUCCAAACAUCACCAUCUCACACGCCAAGGUGCUGCCAUCUACUCUGCCAUCCACCCUGAUGAAGAAACCAUGGGGAAAUUAACAAGGGCAGCUGUGGCGCACACCCCUGUCACUUCUACACUCAGGAGCCUGAGGCAGGAUUGUGGGUUCCAGACCAGCCGGGCUGUAGAACAGUCCUGUGUCUAAAAGAAGAAGUCAUCGAGAACUGGAGAAUGCAUGCAAGCAGGCCUGGUGGCUUAAAUGAGGAGCAGCAUUUGUGGUCAGGCUGACUCCACAUGGUGGAAAGGGAGCUGAUGCCUGCCAGCUGUUCUCUGACUUCCACAGGCACGGAACAAAGGAGCCACCACACUCUGUGGGAAAGCUGUGGCAUAACCCUGGGAUGAAAUUCUGAGCUGGAGAGAUGGACAG